rfam:Triticum aestivum genome assembly, contig: Triticum_aestivum_CS42_TGACv1_scaffold_225368_3B
UAGAUACUCCCUCCGUCCGAAAAUACUUGUCAUCAAAAUGAACAAAAAGCGAUGUAUGUAGAACUAAAAUACAUCUAGAUACAUCCCUUUUUAUUCAUUUUGAUGACAAGUAUUUCCGGACGGAGGGAGUAUAAG